GUUCCUCUCAGCAGCACACGUGGGUUUUGUGAUCCUCCCUGUACAGAUGGCUCCCAGAUCUGUAUCACCAGGCUCCCCCUGCUGCUGCCCCAGAUUACCAGCCGUCUCCUGGAUCACGCAAGCUAGAAGUUCCAAGAGAACCUCAAUGUUUUUUUCUUUAAAUAACACUUACCUUCGAAUCAAAACUAAGAAUUGGUUCCAAGACAGAAGAAUGCAGAUGGCCCUGGAGAGCUGAAACGUACAAGUCCAGAGCAGAGGGAAAUCCAGAGAAGACAUAUUGGGGAGAAAUGACACACUCGAAGAGAAGAGAGGUUCUGCACUCAGUUGAGAACAACAUAAGGACAUUCCUUACCUCUGGUCAUCAGAGGCCCUGAAGCUAGGAGCUGCCCUUUUAUCCCUGCACAGCUGUUCCGGUGGGACUUCUGGGAAAGUACUCAUUUUGGACUUCUUAAGUUUCUCCACUAUUCCUCCAGUAAACUGGUCCUUGGGAAAUCUCACCUUAUUAGAUCCAAUCAGCCUUGUUACCCCGUCUGGAACUUCUACCCCUCUGAUUGGAGAGUAAGGUCAUUCACUCCUCCCUUUAAGAAAGCUGACAUCUCAAGGAUCUCCUUCUUUCUCACUGAGCUGCAUAUUAGAAAACAACCUUUAGAUAAUUUCAAAUGAUUAAAUUUAAAUUUAGAACUCUUAAAUCAUUAAAAGAAAAAAACAAACCCUUCCAUCUUAGACUCAAUACCGUGUAUUGGUUCUAAGGCAGAAGAGUGGUAAGGGCUAGGGAAUUAGAAUUAAGUGACCUUCCCAGGGUCACACAACUAAGAAGUAUCUGAAGCCAGGUUUGAACCCAGGUCCUCCCAUCCCUGGGCCUGGCUCUCUUUCCAGUGAACCACUUAAUUGCCUCUUGCAAUUCAUUUUGGACUUUCUUAGCUUCUCCACUUUGUCCCUGUACCAGCCAUGUCUCACCCUCAAUUUUUAGCUUUCUGUUGUGCAUUGUCUUUCCUCAUUAGAUUGUGUUUUUGUUUUUAAAUUUUUACCUUCUGUUGUAGAAUCAAUUCUAAGAUAAAAGAGUAACAAGGUCUGGAUUAUCCGAGUUAGGUGACUUGGCCAGGGUCACAAAUCUAAGAAGUAUCUGAGGCCAGAUUUAAACCCAGGUCCUCCAGACUCCAUACCUGGCAUUCCAUCCACUGCUUCCCUCCCCCCCCCAUUAGAAUGUAAGCUCCUAGAGAGCAGGGAAUAUCUUUCCUCUUCAUAUUAGUAUCCCCACUACUUAGCCUAGUUCCUGGUACACAGCUGGUACUUAAUAAAUGUUUGGGGACCCUCCCCCUCUGCUCUUGG
rnacentral:lncRNA from 1 species